ACCUGGGUGGCUCAGUCGGUUGAGCGUCCGACUUCAGCUCAGGUCAUGAUCUCACGGUUUGUGGGUUCAAGCCCCACAUCAGGCU
rnacentral:tRNA from 1 species